UACGAAGGUCCCAAGCGUUAUCCGGAUUUAUUGGGUUUAAAGGGUGCGUAGGCGGCUUAUUAAGUCAGUGGUGAAAGCUCCAUGCUUAACAUGGAAAAUGCCAUUGAUACUGAUGAGCUUGAGUAGAUUUGAGGCGGGCGGAAUGUGUCGUGUAGCGGUGAAAUGCUUAGAUAUGACACAGAACACCGAUUGCGUAGGCAGCUCGCUAAACUCUUACUGACGCUGAGGCACGAAAGCAUGGGGAUCAAACAGG
rnacentral:rRNA from 1 species